rnacentral:rRNA from 1 species
AUUGAACGCUGGCGGCAUGCCUAACACAUGCAAGUCGAACGGUAACGCGGGGGCAACCCUGGCGACGAGUGGCGGACGGGUGAGUAAUACGUAGGAAUCUGCCCAUUUGUGGGGGAUAACCCGGCGAAAGCCGGGCUAAUACCGCAUACGCUCUACGGAGGAAAGCGGGGGAUCGUAAGACCUCGCGCUAAUGGAUGAGCCUACGUCGGAUUAGCUAGUUGGUAGGGUAACGGCCUACCAAGGCGACGAUCCGUAGCUGGUCUGAGAGGACGAUCAGCCACACUGGGACUGAGACACGGCCCAGACUCCUACGGGAGGCAGCAGUGGGGAAUAUUGGACAAUGGGGGCAACCCUGAUCCAGCAAUGCCGCGUGUGUGAAGAAGGCCUACGGGUUGUAAAGCACUCCAGAGGGGAAGAAAAAAGUCGGAGCUAUACCUCCGAUCUUGACGUUACCCUUAGAAGAAGCACCGGCUAAACUCCGUGCCAGCAGCCGCGGUAAUACGGAGGG